GCCCGGCGCCCAGGCUGGCGGGGGGCGUGUGCGCGCUAGCACGCCGAGGGCGGCGGUCCUGUGGGGCACUCCACGCGCAUUCGGAGGGAGCGUCUACAAAAGCAAGCAAGCACCCAAACUUAUUUCUGCUCUGGGAAUCCUUCUCUCUCGGAGGUUCCAAGCGUUUCUGCAGGAACCUGGGGAUGGUCAGUGCUGGUUGCAUGCUGGUUGGACAGUGCAAGCGAUGUUUCCUCCUCCCCUGGCGAUUUUUACUCUUCAUUUUGGUGUUUGGUCUAUGUGUGCGUGUGGUGGUGGGGAUGGGGGGGGGGGCUCAGUUGCUCCCUCCUUUCCUAAAGUAAGCUGUUGAGGAAAGCUCACUCUUCCUUAAAGGUAUUGGAACUGAUGUGGGUUUUUCUCGGGAGUAGGGGAUUAUUUAUUUGAAUGCGCCUGGAGUUUGCAAAGAACAGGAGGAAGCUACAGCUUUAAUUACUGUUGUAAAUAAUGUAUAAAUCACGCCUGUCACUCCGGAGGAAGCGGGCUCGCGCGAGGUGGGGACGGAGAGGAUUUCUCCAGCCCCGGCUUGGGCACCGGCCCAGCGCGCCCCCUCCUCUUGCACUCGGCUUCGGCAGUGGCUGGGGAGGGCUGGGUAGAGGCGAAUGGGGCCCCGGGAGCUGCUGCCUUCCUUUCGAUGUUAUAGUUGGAGGUAGGAAUAUGGCUGAUCAUGUGCUGGCUGUUUUACAGUAUUCCCCCCCCAACUUAGCCACACCCCCUGUCCAGGCGCUUUCCCAUUCACGGAAUUCGAGUACAGUAAAAGCCAUCAGGAUGACACACGCGAAAAACAUUUAAUUAAAGGCGAUUUCCAAAGAGUGACCACGCCGAACUGCCGUUUCAGCGGGAGGGGGGCAGCGAGGGCUAGGACGAAAGGGAAGGGGAUGAGGGCUGGGGGUCCGGACCUGCCGCUAAGCUCGGUGAUAUUAAUGAUGUCCUGUGUCAUUCAGUUCCAUCUUUCCAACACAGUGAAAGAGAAAAAAAGAAAGGCAGGAAGCAACAUGGGAAGUAGGAACGAAGCAGAAAAAAACCACAGAGAAUCUUUAAUUUGACAAGGCUUUCAGGGACUUCAGGGAGCCACGAGCGUCGUGACGUCACUGCUGUUAAAAACCCUUUUUCAGAAUCUCGUUAUGAUGUGUGCAUGCCGGCAGCUUACAUGUUUUACUUCGCUCUAGUUAUCUGCACACAGCUGUGGACCACAGAAUUGGUUUGGAACACCGGUGCUGGAGGUUGAAGGCUUUUAGGGCUGGCAGACCUGAGGGCAAAAUCGAAACCGAAAGAUGGGAUUAACAGUGCAAACCUCAGCUGGGUUGAGGUCGAACACCCUGGUAGCUCAGCUUAGAUUGAGUUAAAAUCCCUCAACAGGGCCCGUAGUUUAUGUGUAGCCCUGAGGACUUCUGGACCCACAUCAGGCUUUGACUUUGAAAGUGCGUGGCCUCUCUUGCCCCCUUUGGUUUUGGCCGAUUCACUUUCUAGUAGGUGCUCUUACCUAGCAAUUUAGCGCCCUUUCUAAAGAUUGAUUCUCAGAUCAACUUUCCACGCAUGGACCCGGCUUGCCACAGUGAACAAAUGAUGCCCCAUAGUUUGAAAGAGCUACUGGCUGGGAGAAAAUCCUUUGCCAGAGGGAUAACAUAAUUAUUUUUUUAAACUAAAGGACUUUAAUUUUCCGGUAAAUUGCUCAUAAAAACAUUUAUAAUAAUACCCUUUAAAAAUGUAAUAGAAUAAUUUUAGAAAAUGCAUUUGAUGAUAGUUAUGAUAACUUCUGUUGCUUCCCCCUUAUUUCUUAAAAAAGAAUUGAAUUAUUAAUUUAGAAUUCAAGUCCUGAGUGGCUCAAAACAUCUAUAGGAGACUCUUUUAAUGUGUCACCUGCUGGAAUUUUCCAGUACCUACUGGCAUUCUGAGGAGCCCUUGGCAUUAGAAAACUCCUCUGUUUCUGAAACUGAAGUACAGAGCCUGCGUUGAAGCCCCUAACGAUGAGACCCUUCAGCUUGUUUUCAAGGCAGCAGAGGUGGGGACUGUAGCACACACUCCCGGUUCCACUGUAGACUCAUAAAGACCCAGAGAAAUGUGAGAAUGUUCAUCGUAAUACUUCACCUCCGGAUGAAAAUGUUCCGAGGAUUUUUGGUAACAGCUGAAUCACUUUUGGAAGCAAACUGCCCUCCCUCCAGAGCUAAUCUUUGGAAUUUGAGUGAGACAAGCCCGUGAGUUCUUUUCCUUGGACCUGUUACUUCUGAGUGAAGACACGUGUUUUCCUCCAGCUUCUCCCGUGUUUGCUUUUAGGAGUUUGCGGUACGAUGUUGGAAGGACAGAUGGAGUUGAGGUUAUUAGGGGUUCGUGUGCUGUGGGCUCUUAAAGCAUAUGCCACGUGUUCUGAACUUAGUCUUCCUUUCCCCUUCAUCUUUCUGGGCAACUUGAUGAGUUGAGCUUCUUAGCUUAUACUUCUGUCGAAGCAAAAUGCAUAACUAUGUUUCCCAGGUGUCUGGGGAAAGAGCUGUAAUGUGAUUGCCAUGUGUGCAAAAACAAAUAAAAAAAAAUUAUAGGAAACACACCUCUCCUAUUAUGACAUAUCUGGCUGUUCACACUUAAUGUCUUUACAAGCCAAUACACAGGAACUUCGGGGUAGACAUCAUCUAUUCCCUCCCAGAUUCCUGGCCCAUUCAUCCCAGAUUAGUGAUACAUUGUGCAGGAACAAGGAGAGUAUUUUUUAAAGGCCUUCAGGUAUUGGAGAGAAUACUCCUGCAGAAUUUGGAAUACUUUUCUGAAUAUGAAGAUUAUCUUUUUUGCUCAGAAUUUAGGAAUAAAACUCUUUCUGUCUCUCCUUCUCUCUUCUGUCAUUUUUUAGUGUUUUUUUUUCUAAUUCAUAUAGGAAGUGUUGAUUUAGAAAUGAGCUGUUAAUUUUUUCACCCAUCUUUUUACACUGUAUGUUAAAAUAAAAUUGUAUCAUUUAAAAAUUAAUGCUUCAAAGAAGAAAAGCCUGAUGAUCAGUGUUCAAGCAUUGGUUAAUACCCAGUAAACCGUGAUUUUUGUCUAAGGGUGUGAGGACAUUGCUGAUGAAUUGGUUUUUGUAACUAACAGUAGUAGAUAAGCCCCCAAAAUUUUUGUCCUUUCCUUGUUGAAUAAGUUUUCUAAAUGUCCUAGUCCCCUUUCCUACUCUAGAAAGAACACUGAGGAAUGUAAUUGAUUCUUUCUCGGGGGUUUGAGAAUCUUACGGUGCUACAAGGUCACCGUUCUGAGUAUGAAUUCCAGUUGUACAUUAUAGAACUGUAAAUGGACACAGUGUCAGAGAUUGGACUAAAUCUAUCUUGAUCCCAGCCUGGGAAUUGUUUUCUUUCUUUCUUUUUUUUGUUAAAUCCUCAAUAUCAGUAUGUUUUGUUAUUUGCCUCCCUUGUUUUCUAAGUUGCAAGUAGCAAAACAGAAAUUCAAUUAGUUGAUUCUAGUUGAGAUUUUUACUUUAUAGGAAAAUUUCAUCCAGACCCUAGGCUCUUCUUAAUUCUUUCUCUGGAGUUAAAGAGGAUGUAAAGUCAUUCCUUUUCAUUUCAUUUUUUAAUUUUUUUGAGAUUAGUGAUACAUUGUGCAGGUGCACAGUGGAUCCUGUGCUCCAUUUAUUCCUCCAUUUGCCCCAUUCUUCUCUUACAGGGAUUUCUUUAGACAAUCACCUUGAUGCCUGUGCUCCAAAAGUAAAAGAAAAAUGUGAGGAUCUCCGCUCACUGCAACAUCCACCUCCCCGGUUCAAGCAAUUCUCUUGCCUCAGCCUCCCGGGUAGCUGGGACUACAGGCGCACACCACCAUACCCAACUAAUUUUUUUGUGUUUUAGUAGAGACAGGAUUUCAGCAUGUUGCCCAGUCUGGUUUCCGACUCCCGAGCUCAGGCAGUCCAUCCCCCUCGGCCUCCUAAAUAAAGUGCUGGGAUCACAGGCGUGAACCACCAUGCCUGGCGGUAAAGUCAUUCUUGAAUAUUCAGGAAGGAUAUUGUAUUUUCAAGUAAGUUAUUUGCUGUAUUAGGAUAACACAAUAUAAGUUUCCCCCCAUCUAAUGGUAGAUAGUCCUAACUGUUCCAUAGAUAUAUUGAAGGGAUAUCUUUAGCAUGAGCCUCUUAAAGCCUGAAAGUUAGGAAACUCUAAGGUUAGAAGGAACAAUUUCCAGAAUGUCAAUAAAGAACAUUUAGAUUGCCCCCCAGAAAAACCCCGUUUCCAAGCACAGGCUGUUUUCACUGGGCGAAUAUGGAAAGCAUCCCUGGAACCACACCGUCAGAAGCUGGCUUUCUCAGGGCUGUCCCGCUUGACGUAAUGAUACGUUCUGCAGCAAUAUCUUCGAUAUUGCAGUGGUGGACAUUCAGCUGGGGAGUCCUGGUGUGCUUUCGUGACAGCCCAAUUAUUAGUAUUUUUCUUUUACUUUUGGAGCACAGGCAUCAAGGUGAUUGUCUAAAGAAAUCCCUGUAAGAGAAGAAUGGGGCAAAUGGAGGAAUAAAUGGAGCACAGCUCAUAGGGAAGGCAGGGCAGCGUUUUGCUCUGGCUCUUACAUGCCAAUGCUGAAAGGAAUUAUAGGUAACAAUUCCCUUGUGUUGGUGCAAGAACAAUUUUUUUUUUCUAACAUAUUUUUAUGGCCUUCCCUGACAUGUCAUUAUUACAGACUGUCUUAUCAUAUUACAUAGUAUGGCACCUUAAUAAUGACAUGGCGCUGUGGUUUCCUGGUGAUUGUUUUGUCCACAGAGCUGGGGCCCCGGUGGUCCUCUGGGGAGCCCUGUGCAGCACCCACUGACAGCUGAGAGUCAGGUUUCACACACCCUUGGAGGUGGUGGAGGACUCCAGGCUGCCCCAGGUAGACUUUCUAUACCACAGAUGUUUUCUCUGAAACUCUGAGUCAGAGGGUGGAAAUAAGUAGGAAAUAUUAUGGUAUAGAGGAUUUACUGAUAAUCUCCAGCCUAGAAUCAUCUUAACAAGGUUAUUGUGUUUUACUUUUGAUGAAGAACUAUAUUUUUUUUUAGUUUUUUUUUUUUUUCCUUAAAGAGAUAGACUCAAGGGCUCCUCCUGCCUCAGCCUUCUCAGUAGUCGAGACCACAAAUGUGUACCACUGCACCUGGCUUGAUUAUGAACAUGUUAAAGUUUCCCAGAACUUUAAGAAGCUUCUGCCUCCAUGCACAGACCGUAAUAGAUAAGCUCUUCUAGGAUGCAAGGAAGGGUGCCACUUAGUACAGGAUCUUCAAGCCAGUGAAAGAAGCAGCACACUGUUAAAAAUACCCAGCUUACUUUGGGGGAGGGCUUGGCUGAAUGCUGAUGAAGUUUAUGGAAUAUGAAUGUAGUGAAGUUGCUGUACGUGAGUGGUAGGCGUGUGUGAAAAAAGUAAGAAAUAAAAUUGUGUAUAAAUGACACUCUGAAACUUGAUGGGUGUGCCUGUGAUAAGAAUGGUGAUGUCGGGGUCUGUGCUUAAUGGGGGAAAAUAAACGGGCUUAACAUCUGUAUGUCAGGCUAGCCAUGGGAGUAAAAAUUACAGAAUACAAAAUCAUCUGACAUUUUUUUUAUAAGCAAAGAUUGCUACCAAGGAUAACCAGGCAAAAAUAGAGGUGAAACAGAAUGAGGGGGAAAUGAGGGAACCAACGUUUGAUUCUACUAUGAAGUAUGGUAAUCACUGCUUUAAGUAUUCCAGACUAUUAACUAUUGUGCAGUUAGGUGGGGAAUUCGUUAUAGCGAAACAAAAGGCAUAAAUAUGAAUUUUAGGUUGUACGGCAGAAAUCCUCUUGAUCCCCAAAACAUAAAUGCAUGUACUGAGAAGCCAAGCUGCACAUGAUGUAAUUUUCUGGGUCUUAUCCUGAUUAACAGCCAACUGUAUGCUUCUUUCCUGAAGGUGACUUUACAGUCUCUAGACCCAGACAUUUCUCUCUGAAGUGGAGUGAAGGAAGGAGAACCACAAGCUAAAGUGUGUUUCACUGGGUGAAGUAUUGUGGGGGGAAGAUAAGAAGGGUGAAACAGGGGAACGGACUCGCGCCUGCAGAGAUUAAUGGUGCCUGUUUGGGGACUGAGGAGUGGGGGGCUGUGGAUGAAGGCAGGGAAUUUCUAGAGGGAAAAGAGACUUCUGUGCUAAAGAAAAUGACAUUAGCAUUGACUCUGAAAUGGCUGGGAAUGUGACUUUCUAAUUUUAAAUUAUCUUUAACAAGGGCAAUGAAAAGAGGAAAAGUUGACUCUUUGAGAAGUUAUGACGAACUUGUCGAGAAUGCCAAUUGACAGAGGCAGGUAAGGGAAUACUUGGAAAAACAGCAGGAACAGGUCUGAAGGGCAUGGUGAGCUGCCUUCCUAGGGUGUAAAGGGAAUUGGCAGGCAUAUUUAUUGGCUCUUCCAAUUAGUUUUAAAGAAACCUGAAGAAAUGGACAAAGACAGAGAAAAGGCAACCAGAUGUGAUUCUGCCUUUCGAGAAGCAAAGAGGCUCGUCUCAUCGCAUAUGAUCGAUGCCAGUCCUGGGAAGGAGUGGCUGUGUGGAAAUUAAUGAAUUUUCAACAUCCAAUCACAAAGGACACACAUACAUAUUUAGCAAGUCUAAAACCUCUUAAAUAAACUGCAUUGCUUUUCGUUUUCACUCUCCAGUUAUAAAACCAGUGGAUGAUGAAAAGGCCAUGUUGACAAUACAGCAUGUGCUCCCAGUAACGUUUGUGCGACAGGGAUAUUAGAUCUGAAAGGACAGGGCAACUGGGAAGGUGAACUGCCCGUAACUCUCAAUUGUCCAGAUAAUGAAGCAUUGGGAAAGCGAAGGCAAAUGAAAUAACCUGAUCAUCAAGAAAUGAUUCCUCUUUUAGUGCUCUUAUUAGUUGACUGAUGAUGACAAGUGCGAAAUGGCUGGAGUUGUAUUUUACCGUUUCUGAUGCUCAUCGUGCGCUUUGGAUGAGCACGUGUGUUCAGAAAGUGGGAAGUUUCAGUAGAGCAGGCCAUUAACCUGGAAGCUGUAAAAUUUGACAGUGUCAAGGAUGAUAGUCAAGGAUUGGUGAGUUCUCUAGCAUUCUUGAGGGCUCACAGGGAAUCAGAAGGGGAACUGAAGCUACACUGAAAGAGCUCUUGAACCCUCUGGAGAUGACAUUUUAGUCUUGAACUUGGGGGUGUGUGUUAAAUAUAUGACACUCACUCCUGAUGCUACCACUUGGUCAUAUUUUAUUAGACUAAAGUAUGUUAAAGCCAGAAAGGGCUUUAUAAAUCAGCCAGCCUAGCCUGCCCUGUUUUAACUGAUGCUGACAGACGUGAUGUGUUCGAGAGCACAUGCCUAGUAAGUAGCACGGCUGUGACUAGAACCCAGGUCUUGUCCUUUCUUACGUUUCUGUCACUUCUGUGCUGUGCCAGGAUCCUCCGAAGUCCCAGUAACGAGGUAUUAAGAUGUGUGCAAGUUGAUCGAGCGUUAGGCAGUAGAUACGUGCGAAAGUAAGCAUGGGUUAUUUUGGCUACGCAUUAUUAGUGAAACAUUGUCAGUAAUUGUUGUUUUUUUAAUCCCACUGGGCAUUUUUAUUAUUAAUUAAAAAUCCAUCAGCGAGCUUGUAGAAAUGUCAGUAAAGCCAUUCUAUAGUGAAAAUGGUGCCCAAGUCUCAUGCUCUGAUUUAAUAGAAAGUAAAACUACUUUGACAUUCUAUUCAUAGGUAUGGAGUUGAGCAUCUCAUACUUAGUGCUCUCUGGAGCUAGACACAGCCGGGGGCCCACAGCGAGGGCGUGUGUCUGCAGCAAGCUUGUUUUCUCAAAGCAGAGGAUUUAAGGCUGUGCCUUUUCUAGAGAUGCUCCGGAUCAGGUUUGUGAGUGGAAUACUCUGUAGCCAUUAAAAAUCAUAUUGCAGUAGAAAAGUGUUUCUUGUCAAGAAAAAUGUUCAUCAGCCAUUGCUAAGUGAAAAGCAACAGCUUUCAUGGCAGUGUGCAGGGUAUGCCAUCUUUUUCGUAAAAGGAAAUUACUGUGUGUCUGUGUGUGUGUGUGUGUGUGUCUGAGAUACGUUAGUAAAUUAACUUGGACUGAUGUAUAACAAAAUGAAAUGAUAAAUUGGUCACCUGUGGAUGGUGGGAUUAUCCGUGAGUUUCUUUUCCUUCACACUUUUUUGUAUUUUUUGAGGUUCUUACAUUAUGUGUAUGUUACUUCUGUAAUUAGAAAAAAUAAAUCAUUUUUCUUCUGCAAAAGAUUGUUUGUGUGUUGUGAAACGGAGGAUGCUUUGAAAGAACUGAUUCUGAACUUUGUAUGUUACACAGAACGUCUCGAGGUUUCAGGAUGGGCCAAGUUUACCGGACCAAAGAGAAAUACCACUUGACAGUCACAUUUAGCCAGUGAAACAAGAGUUAUUCAGCUUGAAUAUUAGAGGUCCCAAGCAUGGAACUGCUUGCCCCUCAGAGAGAUAUCUUUAAGGCAUUUAUACUGUAAUCCCCAAUGAGAAAAACAUUACGUUGUGAACUAGUACACACACACGCACACAAACUUUUCACGUAAAAUAUUUACCCUUCACUGUGAUGCGUGGUUAUUUUUGCUUUAUUAUCUAAAAUACAGAGUAUGAGCCCCCAAACUGGUUCCAUGUUCUGUUUAUGAGCUGCUCCUCAUGAUCUGAAAACCGGGUCCUGGGCAUGAAGUAGAAGCAGCCUUUCUGGGGACCAUGGCCUGGCAGUGGGGGAGGAAGGAAGUGUUUCCACAGUAACUGAUGUUAAGCUCCAGGUGUUACUCAUUAUGACUUCAGGGAGGCGGUGGGAGAGGGAAAAUAAUGUAAAUAUUAUUUAUAAUCAUAGGGUAUCUUUAUGCCACUUUUAGCACAGGCUCAUUAAUAUGCUAGUACAUUUAGGGGCACAUCUGCCUAGACUGGCGUAGAAUAUAAAUUCUGGGGUCCCUCUUUUGCUUGGAGCUGACAUCACUGUGUGAGAGCCCAACGGUGGCAUUCUUUCAUUCAACAUAGAUUGACUGAGUAUUUUCUAUGUUCUGGGGCCUGCGGCAGCAAACAAGAGAGGUGAGCUCCCUGCCUUUCUAGAUCUUAUAUUUGAGGGGUGGCGUUUCUUUAAGAAGCUCCCUGUCUGGGUCACCUCGAACCCGGCAUGUAUGGUGGUUCUCUUCUAAAUGUGUUUUGAACUCGGCCUUUUCAUCUCUCUACCUAGUAUGUACCUUCAUCUUUCCCCUCCUCCUCUGCCUCACCUAGUCUCCCCUGCCUCUCUCUUCACUCAUUAAAAUUCUAUCAUCAUUUUCGCUCCAGGUAAGAUCCACCUUCUCCCUCUUAAAGCUCCCAGGCCCCUCUCUGUUACAGCAGUCAGUCAUAUGGGCCUUGCUGAUUUAAUCAACGUGUAAUUUCUUUCUCUGCCAGGUUUGUUUUGCACCAUCUGAUAGUUAUUUCCUGGGCAUGAGCCUAGUCUCCUUAAGGAGAUCAGGACCAAAGUUUAUGCUUUUACUCCCUGCACCAUACCUUGCACAAAAUAGGUGCUCAUUAACUAUGCAGAUAUUCUCUUCCACUUUGCCCUGCAGAGGUGUUUGCUUUCUCAAUAGACCAGCUCAGCACUUCCCAGCUCAGCAAGCACAUCCCCUGCUGGCUUAUAUUUCCAAUGGGGCCUUCGGUUUGGACCCAGCUGCCCUCCUUUGUCCGACUUCUGCCUGUCUUGAAUCCACUGAUCCCCUCAAUUGCCCGCUUAGGCCUACUCCAGUCUUGAGCAACUCAGACCAAAGCUGGACAUGUUGUGUAUGUUGCUUUUACAAGCCUGCUGGGAGGAGUGAGACUGACCUGGGCCAAGACCCAGGUGUGCUCUAUGCUAGCCGUGUGACCUUAGGUAAGUUCAUUAAUCACUCAAUUUCCUCACCUGAACACUGGGAUGAUGGUGAAUCAGGUCAUGAUGAUGAUGCCGGCCUCCCAAGGUGAUUGGGAGGAUCAUACAUGAUAAUGUGUGCCAGGUAAGAGGCCAGGCACACGGUAUGUGUAGCUCUGAUGAUGUGGUGAUGAUGGAGCUAAUACAGGAGGGUGGGGUGCCCUUGUCCUCUCUCUGCUUCUUUUCCUCAUGUCUUCAGCUCCCUUUUCUUGUAACAUUGCUUCUUGGUUCUGAUGGACUGCGCUGUGAAAUCAAUAAGAGCCUCAAGUAUUUGGUGGAGGUCCUGAAGCCUUUGCUUUUAUGACCCGUUUGUAUUUUGGGAUUGGAUCUUUCCUUGAUCCCUCAGCUCAGCUACCAUGGGCUGGAUCGAACCAAGAGAGGACAAAUCACUUAAAUUCAGUCCCAUCAGCCACUUGUUGGGCUUUCCUGACGUUACCUCCCAUACCUGUGUGGCUUCUGGCUCCCCCCCGCCCCCCGCCCCCGGUCUCCCUGCUCCCACUAUUCUUGUAGCACCCUCUGGCCGCCCGCUUCAGGCACUGAGGCCAGGGCUGCUCCCUUAUUCCCACCUUGCCUUAUAGUGCUCUCAGAGACUUCAUCAGCAGCCCAUCAUUCCUUGCCCUCCCUUCCCUUUACUCACUUUGCUUUCUGCCAAAAAAAAAAAAAAAAAAAUCACAUUGGAGAAGCUUGUCUGCAAGGGUUCCAUUCAACUUGCUCUAUAUUAAUGCUCCACUAUGGUGACCCACUGCUGAGUCUUUCACUUGUAAUGUAAUCUAAUAAUUUACAUGCACUUUGCAAGCGGUCCUCUCAAAGACUCGCAACCUGUUUGAAAUUGCUCUGCUGUUACAGUAUUUGAGCUGAUGAGAGAGCAGCGUGAGAAAGAGUAGUUUCUGGUACCACAAUGGUAUUGGGUAAACCCAAGAAAAUAAUGUCAGCACAAGGUGAGGGUGUGCUGAUGGAUUAUAGUAUCCUUUCUCAGAGAAUCAAUUAAACUUGCUAAGGGUCUUUUAUCGAUUUUGGCUUAUAACUGGACUAGGAUAGGUCAAAGUAUUCAAGGAGUAGAGGCAUAGCAGGCUAAACACAGUGAACCAAGUGUGGAAUCCCGUCUUUCUGAGAUGCUGUGAAAUGUUGUAGUUUUGAUAUACUACAUGACUGUUACAGAAUUAAUUGGCACGGUGAUUAGGUUGUUUUAUUUCUUCACUCAAACAUGGUAGAAGCCGAUUCUAAUACGCGGUAGGAAUGAAAAUCGGGUAAUGCUGUAAUAACGGUGCCAGUGUAAAUCGAAUCGCAUCAUUAAGCAUCUAUUUUGUCUAAUUUGUAUUGUGAUAGUGUGAGUGAUACACACACAUUUGGACUUGGAGGCGCCGGUCUUUAAGAAAUAGACUCUAACUGCGGGGCACAGUGGCUCAAGCCUGUAAUCCCAGCACUUUGGGAGGCUGAGGCGGGUGGAUCACAAGGUCAGGAGAUCGAGACCAUCCUGGUCAACAUGGUGAAACCCCGUCUCUACUAAAAAUACAAAAAAUUAGCUGGGCAUGGUGGCACGUGCCUGUAAUCCCAGCUACUCGGGAGGCUGAGGCAGGAGAAUUGCCUGAACCCAGGAGGCGGAGGUUGCGGUGAGCCGGGAUAGCGCCAUUGCACUCCAGCCUGGGUAACGAGCGAAACUCCGUCUCAAAAAAAAAAAAAAAAAAAGAAAUAGACUCUAACUGAGAAGAGAAGCUCCAAUCCUAUAAUAUUGAGCAGUGAGUGAACUAAAAUAAUUAGUUCUGUGUAAUGUGAAUUUAUACAUACAUACACAUAUAUACAUUCAUGCACAUUUAUAAAUAUACACACAUAUAUGCACACAUACAUAUUGUGUCAGGCAGAUCUAGAAGAUAUAUGACUUCGGCAUAAAAAAAAUGCUUGGCUUAUGUUGCCUUCUCACAAGUUGACUAUCCUGAAUGGGGACAGGUAUUCUGACAGGUCAAGCCAAUGAUGGCAUCAGUGCCAGGCUUUGAAAACAAGGCUUUUUACAUUUGUUUCAGCCUCUUCGUCCUUAUUACCAUGCCUGAGAACCCCUAUUAAUGAUGUUUCUCAAGUUUUGGAAAGAAGGAUUAAGAGCCGAGGAAUGAUCAUUUUAUUUUGUCAUUUUUCUUCUAACGAAGGACAUUUGUCAAACAGUUUUCUUCCCAGAGCAGAAAUACGGAGGCACAUUUCUAUGGCUUAAGUUAACAGCUCAACCCUAAGAGCAGAAAUAGGACCUGAGAAGGCAGCAUCCAACAUGGCUGCUUCUAGUGGGACAUGUAGAUUAAAAGGUCCAAGAAGGUGUUACACUUUGAUGACAUUCCGGUGACAUUAUCCCUUCAUCCACAGGAGGACUGGUUUCAGGGGUACAUUAGCAGCAAUUGUCCAGGAGUGUUCAACCAUUCGGGUGGUAUAGACAGGGAGGUCGUGAAAACCUGCCUGGUCCAUCUUCUCCAGUCUGGAUUGCUGCCUCCGAGGCCCCUCUCCGCAUUCUGCCACCGUGGCAUCUAGAAGGGAUUAUACUGAUGGCCUCCCAUCUCUCAUCUGCCCACGCUUUAGGGUUUUGCUUCUGUGGCAUUGUCAGCACCUCCAUCUGGGAAUCUAGAACCUCAAAAAGACUUGUCCACAGAGAUGAGAUUGUAUGUAGUUUAGAAUACGUUUAACUUUCAUAUAUAUAAUGCUUGCUCUGAUGAUGAAAAUAUUGAAAGUGAAUUUGCUUCACAAGCCACUGUCCACUCCCUAUCUUUGAAAUCAACAAUGUAAGUUUUAAACUCCACAAGGAUUUAAGGAGACAGUAGACAGUAUCGAUGCCUCGCGUCUGAAUUAAGAAUAUGUUUAGUGGAGAAGUUUUAUUACAAACCUCCAUGAACAGGCAUCAGUAUCAUAUUCAGCCUAAUAAAACGUUCUAAUGAAAAUUGUCAUGGCGUGUGACAGCCUCCCUUUAUUAAUUGGUCUUUUCCGUUAUUAUUUUCUUGGUAGCAAACACACUCUGGUUUUCUCUCUCAUUAGUUACAGUCCUCAUUGGAUUCGCAUUUGCGGCUUCAGCUGUGUUUAUCUUCUCAUUAGUCUCAGCUCCUUGGGGGCAGGGUUAUAGAUUGUCUUCAGCGUUCUGUCCCAUAUCUCUCUGCCUUUUACUUGAGCAUUUCGGCGAAUGCCCUCAGGAUGCGGGUGACGUGCAGUUCAGAAUCAAUACGGGAAAGAUGAGCCAGCCGAGGGAGGACUGGGAUGAGACCAGAAAAUCUGCUAUUCCUCGAAAGUGUCAAAGGUUUAAAGGCAGGGUAAUAGAAUAUGUCGCCUCCUUGCAUGGAUCCGUCAAGUGUUUCCUGUGUACUGACUGUGUGUCAAGUCCCAUAUUAGUCAGUGGAGGGACAAGCUUGAAUUAAGGGUUGGGCAAGAAAGACAUUACUUGAAUAAGCUAUAGCUAUAGCAGGGAUAGUUAAGAAACCUACCACAUCCCAGCACUUUGGGAGGCUGAGGCGGGUGGAUCACGAGGUCAAGAGAUCGAGACCAUCCUGGUCAACAUGGUGAAACCCCAUCUCUACUACAAAUACAAAAAAUUAGCUGGGCAGGGUGGUACUUGCCUGUAAUCCCAGCUACUUGGGAGGCUGAGGCAGGAGAAUUGCCUGAACCCAGGAGGCGGAGGUUGCGGUGAGCCGAGAUCGCGCCAUUGCACUCCAGCCUGGGUAACGAGAGUGAAACUCUGUCUCAAAAAAAGAAAAAGAAAAUGUCCCAUGAGGAGUUACGAAAAGCUCACUGAGGUGUGGUUGGCUCUGCCUGGGUUUUAGAAAAACGGGGAGAUUCUUUUGGCCAAAAGUAACAGGGCAUUCCAGGCUGAGACACGCAAGGGGAGAGUUCGCGGCACAUUCAGGUAACAUAAGUGAGAUGCAGCUUGGCCUGAGAGUAUGUUGGUGAGGAGUAGGACAUGAGGUUGGAAAACGUAGGCAGAGGCCAGCCUAAGCAUUUUGGACCUUAGCUUAUAGCAAUAUUUUGAGCAAGUGAAAAAUAACUGAUUUCUUUUUGAUAAGGUACUUAAAUAUACUUCCAUGGGGUUAGGGAGGGAAAAUGCAUGGUAUAAACAAGAAACCAAGUUAGGAGAUCGCUGUGCUGGUUCUAGGACUGAUAUGAAGGGCCAAGACUGGGCUGGACUGGGCUGAGGGUUGGGAGUGGAAGGAGAGGAAGAGCACGAUGGUGAGAAUGACGGGGGUCACGUGCAGAGUGGGGCGCGAUUAUUGCCUGGGACGGUAUAGAGGGGUAGAGUGUGAAGAGGAGAGAAGGCGUGGGUUCAGUUUGGGAUGGGGUAAGUUGGAAGUUCCAGGGACAUAUUUGAUGGGCAGCUGGGGAUGCGGGUCUAGCAGGGAGCUUGUGGCCACAUGUUACAUGUGGUAUUAGGCAGGAAAACAAAAAAACAACAAGAACCUGGCACUUAGGAGGGCCAGGCUGGAGACCCGGAGCCCUAGCUCUGAGCAGCACUCUUGACAGAGAAUUGGAAGGUGAAUUUUUACAUCCACGAGGUCACGUUCAUGGCUUUUGAAAUGAUAUCAGCAGAAAAUAAAUCUAAGGCCCACGUGGGUGUGGUUGGGAAAUUGAAGGGGUUGGAUUGGUAAAAAGACAAAGACAAAGAUAAAUGUCUCACAAAAGUGGAUUGGGACCUGGAGACCCUACAUCUACUUAAAGGCAUUAAGAAAGUAAGAAUGGGUCGGGAGCAGUGGCUCACGCUUGUAAUCCCAGCACUUUGGGUGGCCGAGGCAGGCAGAUCAUGAGGUCAGGAGUUCAAUACCAGCCUGGCCAACAUGGUGAAACCCUGUCUCUACUAAAAAUACAAAAAUUAGCGGGGCAUAUUAGUGCGAGCCUGUAAUUCCAGCUACUUAGGAGACUGAGGCAGGAGAAUCACUUGAACCCGGUAGGCAGAGGUUGCAGUGAGCCCAGAUUGUGCCAUUGCACUCCUGCCCGGGUAACAGAGUGAGACUCCAUCUCAAAAAAUAAGUAAGUAAAUAAGUAAAUAAAUAAAAAUAAAGUAAGGGUAUUUGUAAGCCCAGAGUCGGGUUUCAGACCUUUGCCAUCUCAGAUUGCAUUUCAGUUUGCUCUGCUCUGCUGUGCUCUCCCACAUACCCAGCUGAUGAUUGAAGAGUCGUGGCCUUUUUUUAAAAAAAGAAAAAAAAAAAAGCUUUCUACACAGACAACAUUGAUUUGUCCUGUCGGUAAAGGCCAUCUGCCCCACACUUGGCGGAACCUCAAGGGUGGGAGAAAUGGACUGAAUCGUAGCCGUGGAGAGGUCUCCUUAUUGCCCUGAGAGGAAGACUUCGUGGGAGAGAAAGUUCAAAGAGGGUCUUGAGAAAGGGAGUGAGAUCUUCAAAGGCUGGGUCUUGCCAUGGGAAACUAAGUGUAAGAAUUUUUCAUUUUUUUUUUUUUAAGUUGACCAGAAAGAGAAAACGAAACACACAAGUGUUUGCUGGUGGGGCAGGUGAUGGCCUUGGUUAUGAUUGGAGUGGAAUUGCCAUGGCUGCAUGUUUAUGGCACUUAACAGUUUUCUAGGGACUUUCACAUACGCAGCAGCCCCUGGAAGUCCUAAAGGAGGCUGCUAAUGUUGCAAGCCACGGAGGGACUAGAAAAAUGUGUGAUUACAAAACAAUUCAGAUCCAGGUAGGCUGACCUUAUCAUUAACGCCAGGAGUGUGGCAGGAGGGGGCUCUGCCUGUUGGAAAGGCAUCUCCCUGCCCCCAGAGGCAGUCAUGGAGCUCCCCGUUGUUUUUGGUGAGCACUGACUAAAUAUUUUCCCUGUCGAUAUUUCACUAAUGUGUCAUAUGAAUUAUUUGUGUUAUCUCUGUGCUGUGAAAUUAGAGGCCUUCACCCACAGUGUGGUAAGUAGAUUAAAAUGAAAGCCUGUUUUUUAUGGUGUGGGUGAAACUAGGAAACUAUCAGGGAAAUAUUUUGUGUGUGUUUGAUCUGACAGUGGGAAGGCCUUGGGAUGCCAGUGUCUUCUAAAACCUGAAAGCUGAGCUCCGGCUGGAGUUUUCUUCAAAGGGGUUUAUAUUUUAUCUGUUGGCGCUUCUGAGCGGAAGGAAGGUUUGGAGUGGGAGAUUCUGUGAUGAUCCUUUUCUUGCUGUUGUUUUCUUCUCUGUCUUUUUAACUUUGCAGAAAGCCCUUCCAGUCAUACACUCAGACCCUGUUCAGGACGUUGGUGGCCAAACAGGCCCCUUUUGUUAAGCGAGAGUCCCAUUUUUGUUUCUCCUGAAAGGUGCCCUUCAGGACAGCAGAGCCUUUCUUUGGGCUGUUUAUAAUUGAGCCCUGAAGAACCUAAACAGAAAUCGUUCUAAACACAGGCCAAGUGCCUCCUUGGCCUAGCUAGGCAAAGCUAAACUCACACAAGAUGAAAUCUAACCAGCUGGUCACCUGAGAACCACCUUCGGGAGUUCUCCGGCUUGACUGCUUUCGCCUUGGCCGCCAUCCCGAGCCCCAGCGACAGCUGAGGGUCAGGGCCUCUCUGUGCAGAAGUGUAGGAAGAAAAUCAUAGCUCCUGGCGAAGGAGGUUAGGUUGCAUGAUUGGAAAGGGUCCUAUGUCAGCUUGUAACAUGCCAUGGAUCUGGAAGAAUCCUGAAUGGGUGGGAGAAGACAUCACCAUAAGUCUCGUUGUCUUUGACUAGUGCAAUUUAGCCAAGAAUCGUUCCUCUUUGCAGCUCAGGGUUUCGAAAAAUUCCCUUUUAAAAAUGCAUGUUUAUCUAUUUUUUUUUCUUCUUUUAAAUAAAAAGGUGUUCAUAGCUUUAGCGCACCCUGACAGACUUCUCUCGUUUCUGUUUCUGCCUUUUUCUUUACACAAAUUAGGAGUCAUUUGAGAAAAUGAAGGCACUUAUAGGAUUUGAUAAUUGAGAGGUUUUGCAGUUUAGCAUUAUUUUAUUUUACUCUGUUACAAUAGGUAUGUGGGUAACCCUCGCGAAUUGAGAUGCAGUCUUUGUUCUCUAUUCUCAGAUCAUCUAGUUUAGGUCUUAGACUCGCCGUAUUGCCUGCAAGGACAACCUUCAGUUGUGGAAUUUUUCUUUCCAUUUUAGGUAUCGGCUGGGUCAUUUCAAUGGAGUAGGAAACAGUACUGGGCAUUGUCAGAGAAAGAAAGACUGGCUAGAAAAGUUCUGAUCCCCAGGGGCAGUUUCGAGUCUUUUUAAGUGUAAGAUCAUCCAUAUACUUAAAACCUGAGCUUCUGCACAUGCUGGUCAGCGAGGCUCUUCCCUUCCUUACUGCACAUUUUAAUUUCUGUGUUUCUAGAGGAGACACCUGCCUCUUGGGGGAAUGCUGAGCAUCCCGGAGCAUCUGUCCCACUGGGCCUUGUAGACACAGAGACCUGAGAAGUAAACCCACUUCAACACAGGCAUCACUUUAAGGCCGAAGUACAUUUGAGAAAGUUAGGGACUGGUUCUAUGGCGGGGAAGUUGAGCUAAAUAUGCAGUUCUAUUUUAAUUUUCACUUUAUGCCAAGGCAAAAGCAUUGGGAGAUAGACUAUAAAUGUAUAAGUAAGUCAGUGCAAGAAUAGCCCCUUGCAAAAUGCAGAUUUAGGGAGGCUAAAUAUUUUCUCACAUACUUUAAUGCACAUGAAUAACUAACCCCUAAUUGAGUUCCCGAGAAAGGGAUGUUGUGUAACCCCUUGACCUUGAUCACUGUAAAGAAUUACACAGAGGUCUACACGACUGUCAAGGAAGCAUUUGGCUGUCUUAGUUAGCUCGGGCAGCUAUAACAAAACACCGUAGACCGGGUGGCUUAAACAGCAGUCAUUCAUUUUCUCACCUUUCCAGAGGCCCCACCUUCUAAUACCGUCAUUUUGAGGGUUAGUGCUUUGCUGUGGAAAUUUUAGGGGAACACAAGCGUUCAUUUCAUAACAUGGGUUGAUGCUUAAAGCAUACUAAUAAUUUUCAGGGUGGCUGAUUUGGCUCUAAAAAGUUAGACUUUUUUAGCUUGCUCAUUUGUUUGUUUAAACAGAGUCGUAUUUUCUUUUGUGUGUUUUGUCUUAGGCAUGGUCGCCUCUCUUCCUGCUGUUUGAAAUCACAGUAGUAAAACCCAAGGUAAUUAAGGCUAUGGUAUCAUUGUUUUAAAUUAGUGUGUGUGAUUUUUUUUUUUUUGUGGUAAUUCAACAACAUAUUCCUUCAUAUUCUGCAUAAUUGGAUCACAUCUUCAUUUUGUGGCAAAUAAAGAUCUAUUUUACGUUUCUAGUAGAAACACAAGCCCCUGUGGCAAAGUCUGAAUUGGGGUGUUUGCCAUUAGAAGUACUGAAGCAGUGAGCCUUCUAGAGUCGAUCCGGCUUCUGAAACACUCAUCUGUCUGUAGGGUCAGGAAAGAACCUUCAAUCUAAAGCUCAUAAACAGCCAUGCCUUUCACCUAAAAACAAAUAUUGAGAAGACAAGAAAAUGAAAAAUGUAAGUACUAAUGCAAGAAGAGAAUAACCAAACCGUGGAUUAUCCAGUGUGAUGUAUACCACAGAAACAUUCUGAUCAUUGAUUCAGGCACAGCUGUUUGCGAAUAUGUUUUAUUAUCUGUAUGGUUAAUGCCCUGGGUGUUUCUGUGAAGCAAAUUAAUGAUGGCAAAUUGUGAAGAAUACACUGGACAAGUUACCAGGAGGCCUCAGCCCUGAUCCCAGCCCACCAUUAAUUAUGUAAGUGGCUUUGGGCAAACGGCUUUUACUCUGAGACCUCACCUGCUUCUUAGCACAGAGAUGCUACAGCUUCCUGCUAGCUCUGAUAUUCUAUAACCCUGUGACUAAGAUCCAGCUUUUUAAAGGAACCAGCGAAGAACAUACUUUUAAAAAAUUCAUUCCAACUUUCUAAAAAAUUGUUACUGAAGUAUAAUUUACUUACCAUUAAAUUUACCCACCUUAAGUAUACAAUUCAGUAAUUUUUAGCAAAUUUUUAGUGACACAACCACCACCACAGUCUAGUUGAACAUUUCCAUCAGCCCAAAAGAGCCGCAUGCCCAUUUGCUGUUGCUCCUCCUUCCUGUUUCGAGUGUAGCAGAAGCAGCCGUCAGUCUGUUUUCUCUAUAUACAGAUUUGCCUCUUCUGGACAUUCCAUUUAAGUGGAAUCAUAUGCUUUCUAUUCUUUCGUGUCUGGCUUCUUUCAUUUAGCAUCGUGUUUUGGGGGUUUCUGUCAUAAGAUGGAUCAGUACCUUGGUCCUUUAUAUCGCUGAACAAUCUUCCAUUGUGUGGCCGUAUCACCUUUUGUUUAUUUGUCAGUUGAUAGGCUCUUUCUCUUCCUUUCCUACCCCCGUAGCACUUGCCCUUGCCGUAGCCUGCGCCAUACUGGGAAAAAACAGGUCUGUCUUAGAGAAAUGCCAGGUCUUUAUUUCAGGCCUUCCCUUACAGAAGAGGCUGGAGGGUUGGGUUGUAAACUGCUUAAACCCUUCCAAGGCAGUGGACUGAGCUGGCUGGGUCAUUGAAAAUGCGACUGAGUAGCUUUAUGGUAACUAUCAGUAAAUGUGAGAGCACUACCUGGAGGUACUUUUUCUUCCUAUGUAAUUAAUAUGAAUGUGAGGUUUCUGCAUGAGAGAACUUGACUCAAAAGCUUUCCUAAUGAUAGCCUGUUUGCUGUGUUGCAUUUGUUCUACACAUUGGAUGAUGAAGAACUUAGAAGCAAGAGUUCGGGUCCCUGGCCGUUCAUCUGACUUGGUAAUGUCACUUCCGGGAUUUUUCUCUGGAAGUCAUCAGAGUCUUCUUGAACAAGAACAAACUCAUGGAGGGAAAUAGCCUCAUGAUUUGCUCUGCGGCUCGGAAUCACAAAGACUGCCAAAUACAAUCGUGACGGAAAGGUAGAUGUGAUGAGAAGAGGAUUGAGCUAAGUCUUCAGGCUGUUGAUUUCUUUAAAGAGAGACUGUAGAGAGGACAGCACUCGUGUGUUACUGUGUGCUAUUCUUUUCAUGUGAGUGGAGCCACGAUGUGCAUUUUCAUUUGCUAAGUUUCUAGCUCAUGGAGGCUAGCAGCUCGGUAUUCUGGAUGCUCCUCAAACGAUUCUCGCAUUUAAAGCCUAGCUCUGGAAAUAUGGUUAAUCUGUGGUAUGUUUCGCGCUUCAGCUGUCCUCAGGUCCAUCUAAUUUAAUCCAUCCUUGGCUAGUGCGUCCUGUAAGAUGAAGGAGAAAGUCUAUUCCAUUUGCCUUUCUCAUCUUCAUACGUGGGGUAGACAUGUUUUCUAGCCUUUCUCCCUUACAAAUUUCAGAAAGGUUGGGUCCAGCAAGUAGUAUGUUUGUGUGUGCAUGUGUGUGUAUAUAUGCAUAUGUAUACACACGUAUAUACACACAUACAUAUUCUUCUAACUGCAUAAUGGGAUGAGGCCUAUGAAAGCCAGCAGCUUGCCUCGAUUUUAUUUAGCAUGCUAAUUAUAAGCGGUAUCGGUGAUAUCUUUUGGAAUUUAGACAUUAGACUGUUCCCACUGGUGGAAGUGAUGUUUACAGCACACCCUGCCUCUUGGGUCCUGCGAAAGCUUUGCCUUUGUCGAAUCCAUAUGGUAGGAUUAUUGUAGAGAAAGAUAAGCCAGACCAUUCUUGAGUAAACAUCAGACCCUCCCGUGUGCCUUAGAUCUGGUAGCUGUGGGCAGAGAGGGCUGCCGAGGGCCACGUGCUGCCAGGCUGGAAGAUGAGCAGACUGCAUCCAGGUGUGAUCAUAUUCUUAUCCUUUUCUCCCACAGCUUUAAAGUGGCAAAAAUUUCUUCCCUUCAUCAGGAAGGAACUAGAGAACACGUGCCGUACCUUUUGUUUGGCGGCGGGGGCGAAGGGAGGGAUGGUCAGCAUCCUCUCUUAUUUGGGCCUGUAUGAUAGUAUUAUCAUAGCUGAUCAUUGCUAGGAUGAUUUAUGUAGGAGUCUCCGACUGAGUUUGAGAUCCUUGAGGACAGGGAUGUCGUGGAGUUGUCCGUGUGUUUUCCAGGGUUUUUAAUACAGUGCUUUGCAUACAACAGGUCCUCAGCUAGUGUUUUGUAAGUAGCUGACGAAUAAAUACUUUCCAUUCAACAAACAGUGUCUGUGAAUAUACUAGUAUUCUCAAGAAUGCCUGACGUCUGCUGGGUGCCCAUGAUGCAGAAGUAAGAGUUUCUCCCUUCCUCUCUCCCUCCGUCUCUUCCGUCUGCAGCAAUCAGUUCCUGUACUCAGCAGACACGGCACUAGGUGCUGAGGUCACAGAGAUCCUCAGUGAGUUAGUAAGAAUGUCAUCCUGGAGUGCGGGAUGUGAUUUGAUCACGGUUCAUCAAAGGAGCUGUCACUUACGGAUUGCUUACUCUGCUCUAGGUACUGAACACAUUGGGUUUAGCCCUCAAAAUUCUCACUGCGUCUUUAGGAGACAAGAACUAUGAUCCCCAUGUUGCAGAGGAGAAGAGUGAGGCCUAGAAGAGUUGCUCAGCGUGAGUCCAGAAGGUUGCUCUUCCUGGCUUGUGCAUCCUACCACACCACCGACCCAAGCUCCCCUUCCCCGUCCCCUAACUGCAUUAAACGUGUAUCCGAAACAGCC